rnacentral:rRNA from 1 species
CUACGGGGCGCACCAGUGGGGAAUAUUGGACAAUGGGGGAAACCCUGAUCCAGCAAUGCCGCGUGUGUGAAGAAGGCCUGCGGGUUGUAAAGCACUUUCGGUUGGGAGGACUGCUUCUAGCACUAAUAUUGUUGGAAGUUGACGUUACCUUCAGAAGAAGCGCCGGCUAACUCCGUGCCAGCAGCCGCGGUAAUACGGAGGGGGCAAGCGUUAAUCGGAAUUACUGGGCGUAAAGCGCGCGUAGGCGGCUAGAUCAGUCGGGUGUGAAAGCCCCGGGCUUAACCUGGGAACUGCAUCCGAUACUGUCUAGCUUGAGUACAGGAGAGGAGAGUGGAAUUCCACAUGUAGCGGUGAAAUGCGUAGAUAUGUGGAGGAACACCAAUGGCGAAGGCAGCUCUCUGGCCUGAUACUGACGCUGAGGUGCGAAAGCGUGGGGAGCAAACAGGAUUAGAUACCCCGGUAGUC